CCUACGGGAGGCAGCAGUGGGGGAUAUUGCACAAUGGGGGAAACCCUGAUGCAGCGACGCCGCGUGUGGGAAGACGGUCCUCUGGAUUGUAAACCACUGUCCCCAGGGACGAAGAUGACGGUACCUGGGGAGGAAGCUCCGGCUAACUACGUGCCAGCAGCCGCGGUAAUACGGAGGGUGCAAGCGUUGUCCGGAAUUACUGGGUGUAAAGGGAGCGUAGGCGGGAUGGCAAGUUGGGUGUUAAAUCUACCGGCUCAACUGGUAGUCGCACUUAAAACUGCUAUUCUUGAGUGAAGUAGAGGCAGGCGGAAUUCCGAGUGUAGCGGGGAAAUGCGUAGAUAUUAGGAGGAACACCAGUGGCGAAGGCGGCCUGCUGGGCUUUUACUGACGCUGAGGCUCGAAAGUGUGGGGAGCAAACAGGAUUAGAUACCCUGUAGUC
rnacentral:rRNA from 1 species